AGGACUAACGCUGGCGGCGUGCCUAACACAUGCAAGUCGAACGGGGUAGCAAUACCCAGUGGCAGACGGGUGAGUAACACGUGGUCAACCUACCUCUGUGUGGGGGAUAACUAGCCGAAAGGUUAGCUAAUACCGCAUACGAUCGUUUUGAGGCAUCUCGAGACGAUGAAAGGAGCAAUCCGCACGGAGAGGGGACUGCGUCCCAUUAGUUAGUCGGUGGGUAACGGCCUACCAAGACUCCGAUGGGUAGCUGGCUUGAGAGAGCGACCAGCCACACUGGAACUGAGAAACGGUCCAGACUCCUACGGGAGGCAGCAGUGAGGAAUUUUCCGCAAUGGGCGAAAGCCUGACGGAACGACGCCGCGUGUGGGAUGAAGGCCUUCGGGUCGUAAACCACUGUCGAAGGGGACGAUAAUGACGGUACCCUUGGAGGAAGCCCCGGCUAACUACGUGCCAGCAGCCGC
rnacentral:rRNA from 1 species